rnacentral:rRNA from 1 species
UCCACGCCCUAAACGAUGUAUGCUUGGUGUUGGGAAGCAAUUCUCAGUGCCGGAGGUAACCCGUUAAGCAUACCACCUGGGGAGUACGAUCGCAAGGUUGAAACUCAAAGGAAUUGACGGGGGCCCGCACAAGCGGUGGAUCAUGUGGUUUAAUUCGAUGCAACGCGAAGAACCUUACCUGGGCUUGAAGUGUAGCGGACAGUAUCUGAAAGG